rnacentral:tRNA from 1 species
GGGGUUGUGGCUCUGUGGUAGAGCAGUCGCCUGGCACGUGUGAGGCCCUGGGUUCGAUCCUCAGCACCA